rnacentral:rRNA from 1 species
AUUGAACGCUGGCGGCAGGCCUAACACAUGCAAGUCGAGCGAGCGGCGGACGGGUGAGAAAUGUCUGGGAAACUGCCUGAUGGAGGGGGAUAACAACUGGAAAAGGUAGCUAAUACCGCAUACCAUCAGAUGUGCCCAGAUGGGGUUAGCUCGUGGGUGGGGUAACGCCUCACCUAGGCGACGAUCCCUAUCUGGUCUGAGAGGAGGACCAGCCACACUGUAACUGAGACACGGUCCAGACUCCUACGGGAGGCAGCAGUGGGGAAUAUUGCACAAUGGGCGCAAGCCUGAUACAGCCAUGCCGCGUGUGUGAAGAAGGCCUUCGGGUUGUAAAGCACUUUCAGCGGGGAGGCGUUACCCGCAGAAGAAGCACCGGCUAACUCCGUGCCAGCAGCCGCGGUAAUAC